ACGGAGGAUCCGAGCGUUAUCCGGAUUUAUUGGGUUUAAAGGGAGCGUAGGCUGAUGUUUAAGUCAGUUGUGAAAGUUUAAGGCUUAACCUUGAAAUUGCAGUUGAUACUGGAUGUCUUGAGUGCAUUGAAUGUGGGCGGAAUUCGUGGUGUAGCGGUGAAAUGCUUAGAUAUCACGAAGAACUCCGAUUGCGAAGGCAGCUCACAGUGAUGUAACUGACGCUGAUGCUCGAAAGUGUGGGUAUCAAACAGG
rnacentral:rRNA from 1 species